rnacentral:rRNA from 1 species
UACGUAGGGUGCCGGCGUUAAUCGGAAUUACUGGGCGUAAAGCGUGCGCAGGCGGUCUUUUAAGUCAGCUGUGAAAUCCCCGGGCUUAACCUGGGAACUGCGUUUGAAACUGAAAGGCUAGAGUGUGGCAGAGGGGGGUGGAAUUCCACGUGUAGCAGUGAAAUGCGUAGAGAUGUGGAGGAACACCGAUGGCGAAGGCAGCCCCCUGGGCUAACACUGACGCUCAUGCACGAAAGCGUGGGGAGCAAACAGG